UGCGGCGGAGCUCGGGGAAGGGAGCAACGCUGGCCUCUCAGGCAGGCGGCGAGGGGGAACAUGGCUGUGCGGCCAGCCUCGGCGCUGCGGGGAGCGGCGGCCUCCGGGCCUCGCCGGCGCCGGGGGGGGGGGGGCGCGCCUGCGCGAGGGAGUGUCCCUCGGGAAAGGCGGGGGAGACGCUCAACGGCCCUCCAGGGCCACCCACCCCCGUCCUGGAGCCGGGGAACCCCUGCGGGAAAACCAGGCGGGGAACAGGAGGCUGGGCAGGGCUAGGCCUCAGAGCAGGCCCUGCCUCCCCUCCAUUUCCUCAGGCCUCCCCUGGGACCUGCUCUUCUCUGCUUCAAAGCAAGCCGACGCCUCUGGUUCUCAGCUGGAUUAGAGCCCCCCCCCACGCACCCCCCUCAACCUCCCCCCCAACACACACACACACACACAGGGGGAAAGAUCCUGGUCAUGUACAGCUGAUCAGGGAGACUGGCACCUUUGCGUAACUGACGGGGGGGGGCCUCUGUUUUCACAUAACAACAGACAAAUUGCACAUCGCUCCAGGUUUCAGAGCGGUGGCCGUGUUAGUCCCUAUCAGGAAAAAGAACAAGGAGUCCUCAGAGCACAUUAGAGACUAACCACGUUAGUUGGGCAUGGAUCAGCUGAAUUCCACCACUGCAAAAGGUAAUAGGGAAAGACCAGACCUACACGGCCCUUUGCUACGUGAUCCAUCUGUGAUCUUGAGAUGAUGAUGAUGCACAGAGUAAUGAAAUUCUUUUCCAGUUAUUGCAUUUGAGAUACGAAGAGGUCAGAGGGGAGCACUGUCUAUGCUUUGAUGAUGCAAGCGCUGCAGGUUGAAGUUUUCUUCUCUUUUCAUGGAGAUCAUCUUUACCAACAGUUCCAAGUCCCACCUGACAUUCGCUGUUGGCUAAGGCCUGUUCAGGGAAUGCACUGCUCAUUUUCUAGCUCCUGUAUUGAAGGGACUCAGUUACACCGGCUCAGACCCAAGGUCCAUCCAGUACCGUGUUUUGUCCUGGAUGCGUCAGAGGAAGGUGUAAAACACCAGAGUGGACAGCUAUGGAAUAAUCUAGUAAUCUGGGGCUAUGCACAGUUUUGUGGCUGGAACUGGGUAAUACAAACCAAAACCGGACUUUGGACUAUCUGGCCCUGGUUCUGAGCCCACAUACAACAGUGGUACACCAGCAUAUUCCCACCGCCCCUUGUGGAGUUACUCCUGGAUCGACACUUUAUACAGCUGAGAGGAGAGUCAAGCCCUUGGUCUCUCAGUCUAACUCAUCCAAUAAGCAUACUACACAAAUGGGCGAGGAGCAACAACUAUACAGCAUAGGUCCUGGAAAUUGGGAUGUUACCGCACCCUCUGUCUUGAAGCGGUUUCCAUUAUAUACGGGGUUUAUUGUUUGGUUCAGUGGCUCCUAGCACCCCGAUGAUAAAAAUAGUUCCAGCCCCCUUGCUAUACAGUGGAACAGUACUUCUUUAGCCAACAAGUGUUGGUUUUACAUCUGGAACUUAUCCAGCAACAGCCAGACUGUGUGCAUGAGAGAGAGAGAGAAAGCGCAAGCGAGCGAGCACGGAAUGGGGGAUCACCCACAGCUAUUGCAAUGAGAGAAGUGUCUCCCUUGCAUUCUUUUUUUCACAAGAGGCUGGAGCAUUUGUAAUAGGAACCUCUAUGCUCCCUCUCCCUCCCAUGGCUCAGUAAGGAUCACAUUUUUUCCCCAACCCUUCUAUGCAGCUGUUGUUCAAUAGCUGGCUUUUCCUGCUGGAAACCAACAGACUGACUCAGUAACAUAAUAUUUUCCUCUGCAUGGAACAUCUGCCACAGGUUCUUUAUUCCUUGCCUGGAUUAGAACAGCUUCUGAGCUUGAUGUUGAGCAGUUUGCAAAGUGGCAGAUGAAGUACUCUGCCUUCAUACCAUUGGCCAAGCUACAGUUCCACAUCUGGCCAACGACCUGUACAGCUUGGUCACUUGGGUACGUAACCGUUCCAGUCAGGAACCCGACACCUAAAGCAGACGCGGUCAUUAGCUCUGCUGGCUGAGACCAUCUGUGGCUCCUGCAGAUGGAUAGUUACUCCGGAGCACGGCCCAUGGCAACGUGGCUUUUCCAAGCUGCUUUAUGCCCACAUCAGUUACGCAGCAAUACUUGUUAUUUCAUGCAUAAGGAAUAAAUAUAAUGUGAUGAAAGUAUUAUUAUAAUUACUCCUAAUAGCCUCAACAUGUAUUUAGUCCAGGAUGUGGUUAACAGAGGGGAAGCAAUUAUCGGAAGUGUCUAAGAGAUUUAGGAUCACAAGCCCAACUGAAAGUCAAGUCACUUCUACACAUUUACAGAAGAUAAACAGUCUGAAAGCCCGGGAACGUGCUAGCCCAGGCCAUGGUUAUUACCAAGUACAACUUUAAGGCUCUAUAAGGAAAUACAGGGCUCUUCUGCUGCAUCACCCUAGACAGGUGCUAACAUCCUGCCUUCAUAGUCAGGGUAAUUACUGCUGAGUCAUGCACACAGGUGGAUCCAAUCAGCAUCAACUGGGAUACAAAAGGGGAUAAGGGGUGUCAAACUACAAACUCCAUUUGGACUGUAAGGCUGUCCUGUGUCUUCUGUAACUUCAAGGGGUGGUGAUGGGGCUAACAAUGGAGGGUCGUCAAACCUUGAUGAUGUCCUAUUCAAAUGGAAGCACUCUGGGACAAAGAGCUGACUACCACCCAGGGCAAACCAGUUUUUCAAGUCUUGGCUCCAGAGGGGUGGUGAUCAAGCAAGCGAUCAAGAAAACAACAGAACGCCACUAGCCAUCACCUUCAGCCCCCAACUAAAACCUCUCCAACGCAUCAUCAAGGAUCUACAACCUAUCCUGAAGGACGAGCCA